CAGGCAUUUGGAGGGCUUUGGAACCGAGAGCUGUAACCCACGGGAAGCAGCUGCUGAUUUAUUCCAUCAAUCUCACAUUUGAAAGCUAUCAGUUCUCUGGAUGCCUCAGGUAGCUUUGUCAUUUUUCAUUUAGUUCUAAUUUGCAUCCCCAUGUUCUGCCCCGAAUCUUGUGAGGGGGAAAAAAAGGCAGAAUAGUGAUGAAAUGCACGUUUUUCAUUUCACUUUAUUAAUGCUCCUUAUUUUUAUUGAGUUCAGGAUUCUUUGGAGGGUGGGCGCUGCCUGCAGAUCUCUGCAGGUUUAAUGGCCAGCCCAGGUCAUGAGAGCUAACAAGCUUUAACAAAAAUAAAUACAAAUGCAAGUCCAGGGGAAAAAUUGGUGUCUUCAGUCAAGGUUUCUGCUUGAUGGUUUAAAUCCUAUUUGAAAUUGGUGACUGAAGGGUUUUAAAGUGAACAGACUGGUGGCACUGGCUGACAUGGAUUUGGAGGACAGGCUCAGGACACAUGUAUGGAGCUCCAUGACUGCUUCCAUCAUUAAAUGAGGCGGGAAACUUUCCAGCUCGCCUGAGGUUCUGAAUUGGCUCUGAAUAAAAGGUGUUGUGUGUCUGAAGUGCCCAGCCCAAGGGCUCUCCAGCAAUCCAAACAGCCAGCACACAAAGCCAUUAAACCUGAAGUGCCUGGGCAUGAUUACUUGGAGACAGUUUGCAGCUGAGUCCCGCAGGAACCGGCUUUGUCUGAAAAGCCGCCCCCGGCAGGUGGAAAAAGUCCGGGCUGCUGAUGCCUCUCCUGCAUCUCCCACCCAGCCACCCAAGGCUUGUCCUGCAGCCACGGAGGAUCCAGGUCAGUGUUUAAGAGCAGGGACUUUGCUGCCACAGGGAUCUCCGCACUCCAGCCUGGUCUGCAGCCUGGGAAAGAGCCAAAGCAGGUGAGGGCAGCACCCCUCAGAAGCAGGAGGACACCUUCAUGUGGGCCAGUGUCUUUGGAUGAGGGAGGAUGCAAGAUGGGAGGAGCAGAGGGCCAAGGCAUCUGUCAGCUCUCCCUGGAGAAGUCCUGCAGGCUCCCAUCUUGCCAUUUGUGCCAUCCUGAACCCUGUGGGUAUCUUGCACUGGAUCUCACGUCCCCAGUGCACUGAGAGCAAUUCAGUUCAAGGAACCACCACCAACACGGUACCUUUAUUGCCAGUCCUGCCUGAUAAACCUGCUCCCUCCAGGACGGCUGAGCCCAGCCAUGCCCAUGCCUCCACUGAGCUUCCUGCCCCAGGACCUGCCUGACCCUGCAGCUCUGACCCACCAUUAUCUGUCCUCCAACCCACUGGUGGGAAUUUGGGUUGCCCCACAAUGACCAGAGCUCUGCUGCUGCCCUGCCUGAGGUUAACACACGUGAAGCAAACAGACCCUCUGCCCCAGUCUCAGGCAAGGAUUUGUUUCUGGGAGCGAUGUGAGCGCUCUGCAGGCACCCAGCUCCUUGCUGUCCCAACGACGAUGACGCUGGUGGCAGGAUUCCUUCCAUCCCAGCAGCUUUGAGCCUGGGCUUUGCACAGUUAACAGGAAACAAGAAGCCUGUUUGAAUGUUUCCGCCUCCAUCUACCUGGAACGAACCGCAAUUAAUCCACCGGUUGCGCCGCCAACGCAGUGUUGUAAUUGGAUUAAUUAGAGCGGAGCUGGCGGCCGCACUGGGGAGGUUGCAGCCUCCUCCAGCGUUGGGAUUCGUGGGAUCCGUGCCUGCCGGGCGCUGGACCAGCAGCACCAGGGGAUGCCGAGGCAGCACUCACCGGGCCGCGGGCGAUGGAGCUGGCUGAUGGCUCAGGGAAACGACCUGUCCGCUAAUUGGAGUUGAUGAGGCGUGGCCUGGUUAACGGGGCUUGUAAAGAGGCAGCAGGAGCAGAGGGGGCUGUGUGUGGGUUCUGCUGUCAGCCGAAGGGACCCAGAGGAGGAGCCGGGUGGGUGUUAAGGCAGGUGGGGCACGGAGUCACCUUCCCCAUUCACCCCUGACUGCCGGAGGGGCAGUGGGUGGUGCUGCCUCCGCCCCAGAUUUUGGGGAGAAGCACGGAGGAAGGUGAAAGUGGAAUGUGAGUCCUGCAGCAAGGCUGAGUAGGACAAUCCUGGCCGUGCUGGACCCUAUCCUGCUGUUCCUGUGCCAAGCCUGGUGCCCAUCGGCCUGGAGGAAAGGUGGGGGACAGAUCUGUAGGGGCACGGUGCCUCUAGGCACAAGGAGCAUCCCUAAAGGCUGUGGGAGGAUGUCAGCCCUGCUCCCCUGAGCUGAAUUGGGUCUAACCUGGUUCAGCUGGAAACCAGUUGUCACAGGGGAUUUACUGCAAUUGCCUUAAUCAACAAGAAAAGCCCUUGGGAAAGCCGGCAGUUCCCUGUGCCGGGGGCUGCAGGAGCACUGAGCUGACUGCUGGUGCUUUUGAAACCCUCGGAGCAACCCUUACUGGUGCAAGGCCAGCUAAUCCUCAGCUAACCAGAGCAGUACAAACCACCCCCAAACUGCUGAGAACAGGCUCUGCACCCUAAACCAUGCAGGACCCAAGGCUGUAGGACUCCCUCCCUGCUGAAGGGAGCCAGGACCCAGCAGUGCAGCCACCAACCCAGCUCAGGAUGCUGAGGAGGUGAUACCAGCGGGCACAACCCAGCCUCCAGGUAUUCUCUUCCUCCUUUACCCAAAAGGAAGAACAAAAUCCCACCAGUUCCUUCAUUCUCCAGAAAAAUUAGGGCUUUUUUUUCUGAGAUGAAUCAGCCUCCCCAGGAGGCACGUGGGGUGAUGUGUGGAUGCAGCCUCAGCAUUAGCCAGGUAAUUUGGGGCUGAGGAGGUGACCCAGAAAGGACAUCAGGGCUGCUGCAAGGGGGAGUGGGGGUCUCUGGCCAAGCAGGAAGGGUUUGCCACAGCCUUGGGCUCAUCCAAGCUCACAACAACAGCCAGCAGGGAAGAGGACCUUUCCAAGAGCCAGACACACCCAGAUACCGCCAACAGCUCUGGAGCCCGUGGGAGGCGUUGGGUACUUGCCCCACCCUGGGUGGAAGAUCCCAUUGUCCUCAGGGCUCUGCUGUGACCUUGGGGCGAGCUCCAGGAGCUGUCAGUUCUUGACCCAGCUUGCAAACCAGCCUGAACGGUGACAGCAAGGUCAGCAAGAUUUAGGGCCCCUGGACACAUCCUUAGUCACAUCAGUUCCUGUGGUGUACUUGGCUGUAAUUUAGCCUGGUUUAAUUGUGCUUAAAUUAGCCACAAAUGGAACAGCACUGCAGCUGCGCUCAAAAAUAUAUAAAAUUACAGCACACUAAAACAUUUCCACAUUUCAUUAGUGUGUCUUAAUGGGAAGUGUCUGCUCCCCAAACUCUCUGUUUACUCUCCAGAGCAGUAAAAGUUUACACAUUUGCCGUUGUGCUGCCCAUUAACACUGCAAAAUCCUCUGUGUGUUUUGCAGGGGCAGCGCUGCUCCUCACAGGGAUGGAAAGCCUGAAAUUUAGGGGGACUGUGCUCUCCUGAGGCAUUUCUGCAUGGGCGGGAGUGAGCUGAGCAAGGAGCAUCCUGACUGCCAGGUGGGAGCAAUCUCACACCGCAGGAGAAGCACAAGAGCCCCAUUCCCGGGAUGGUGCUGCCUGUCCCCCUGGCUUUAUCAAAGCUCCAGCUUUCUCCCAAGCAGGGUAAUGCCUCGAAUCCAAAUCAGGAAGCUUUUUCAGUGGAAACAGCAUUUUAGCAGAAGCCUAUUUAACGCUUAGGCUGACGCCCUCGAGUGCUUUAUUUUAAAGCAUUUUUGUUCUUCUCCAUUAUCAGUAAUAGUCUAUAAAAGCCAAAACGCAGCACUUUGCUCCUGCCUGCUCCUGCCUGCUCCAUCCCCCUGUGGUGUGGGCAGCCCUGCAUGGCAGGGGCUGAGGAGGCUCCUCUGUCCACAGCUCCCACUGCCCCAGCACGAUAAUCCAGAGGGGGAAAAAUCCAGGGGAAAAAACUCAGCAAGAGGUGAUUGCAUGGGGUCAAACCACUUUCCCCAUCAGCAUUCCCCAAACAACUUUCCCCAAUGCCUUUGGUCUUGGGCAGCAUCUUCCCAGGGGAUCAUGUCGUGAAAGGAGUUUUAAGAUUAGAAUACAAAGUAAAAGGGUGGGGAUUGUCCCUUGUCCCUCUCCCACCUUAUCCAGAUCUCAGCUUCCCCAGGGAAAUGGACUUUUGUACAAGGGGUGGCCAAGGAAGGGUGAGGAGUGAGCUCGAGCAGUUUGGGGGAUUCAAACCUCCUCCUGCUCCUGACUUGGCUCAUGGGUUCAGAACAGAGAGGUGCUGCCAGGCACAGGGAGCUGCUGGAGGAAGGGGAGCAGGAGCUGGGCGGUCCCCGGGAAAUGGAGUGAGCCAGGAAUGGAAUCAUCUCAGCGCUGGCUUGGAGGAAGACGUGCAUCCUGAGUCUGACCCCUUCCACCUUUCCCAAGCUGGAGGCAAAAGCCCGAUGCCUUCCCGCUCUGCAGCCCAAACUUGUGCUGAGCAUCCCCAAACUCCCUCCUCCAGCCAGACCCGAGCUGGAGGCUGGGAUCCGACCAAGCUGGCUCCGCCUCGUUAGGCAGUAAUUACUUCAACAGGCAGCGGUGCUGUUCGUGUGAUUGGAGGCUGCUAAUUGCCAGCGGGGAGGGCAGUGAGAAAAAACCAGCCUUGCUCUCCCCCGCUCCGGGGUACAUCCUCGGGGCGCUGGGAGCUUCUGCCUGCGGUCGGGGGUUGCCUGUGCCCCCCGCAGCCCAGCGAGGGGCUUUGCUCCCGGUCUGGAAAGCCGGGCCCUGUCUCUUCUGCCCGGACACAUGUGGCUGCGGGCUCUGCCCCCUCUGCCCCCCUCUGUCCCCCUCUGCCAGCUGCGUCAGACCUUUCGGCGAUGGCACUCGGAGAGCAGCGGCGGCUGCGCAGCUUUGCCGCAUGAUCCCCGGGGGCUACUCGCCGCCACGGCCACUGCCACUCAGAGGGGAAAAAAUCAUAUUUUCAGCUCCAUCCCUCCAUCCCCCUUUCCAGUCUGGAGCUUUUUUAGAGCCAAGGGGAAGAAAAGGACGUGGCCUGUCUUCCCUCCCUCCCUCGGCUCCUGUUCUUUCAUUCCGCUCUUCCCGAAGAAGCCUGCGAAGGGAACGCUCACGGUGUCCGUCCCUGCGCGUUUUUUUUUUCCUUGUACUGCCUAAAAGCCGGGAGGCUUUGGUAGGUAAGCACGGAGGGAAAAAGGCUUUUGUUGGAGCAGACGCGUGGGCAGGUGAGCUGCAGAGCCCCCUCCUGCCAACAGAGAAGCCGGCUGUUUCCACGGAGGCCAGCACAGAAAGCCAGGGCGGGACACGCCUGGUCCUGGGGAGGGGAACACAGGGGUUUGGCAGGCCCCUGCUGUCCAUCUGGAGAUGAUGGAGAGGCAUCCUGAGAUUCAGGGGCUGUCUGGCGGUGUCCCACCUCCUGGAGGUGACACCCUGCACCGGUCCCACUCCCAUCAUGGUUUUUCACGCUCAAACCCCACAGGUUUCCCUCUUUCCUGCACAGGGACAGUGGAGCCAGCACUGAUGGAGGGGACAUGGGCAUCCUCAUCACUCAUCCUUUGUCGACCCAAACAAGGGGAGCACAGGUCAGCCCCCCAAUAUCAGCUUCAGCAGCCCCCUCACACCAUGUCCAUCAUCCUGAAGCUUCUGAGCUGGGCACUGAUGGAUGGUCUGUGUCCACAGUGGAUGCACCCCAGUGCCCACAGCCUUCACUCUUUCCAGGGAAGGCUGCAGCUCCACUUCCCAGCCACUCCUUUAUUUAUUGCCUGGAGAAACUUGGGCAGGGUGAUGGAGGGAGGGGACAGGGUGGUCACUGCCACCAUCCUGUGCCCAAGGGACCAGCACAGCCUUGCAGCUGCUCCAGGGCUGUGGGUGCUUCUGGGUUUCCUGUGGGUGUAAAUGGCUUUUCUGCGGGCAGAGAAAGGAAGGGCCAAAAAAAAAAGGCACUUUGGCAAGUGCCUUGACCUUGGAUGCACCUGGAUACGGGUACAGGCAGAGUGGGAAACUUGGGUUCUGGGCUCUGCCCAGGGCUGAGGGAUCAGCCAGGAGCCUUGCAGGGGAAAGGGCCAUAAAACAGGUAUUUGCCCCUGGAAAGGUGGUGAAUUCCUUCUUGCAACAGUUUGAUUCUGCAAAAUGCAUUUAUCAGGCUAAAGAUGCUACAGCAGCAGCCUCCCGCCACGAUCUGAGGGUUUUUCCCAGCUUGGCACACAGCACGCAUUGUCCUGUGGCUGUUGCUGUUUCUCCACCCUGCAGGUAACUCCCCACUUGCUCCAUGCCACCUUUCUUGGGAAAACCAGCUUGGAUCCAGCCCCACUGAGCAUCCUCUGUCCCCUCCAAAUGGACAGGCCCAUGGCCAAACCAGGUCAGCAUCCAUCCACAUCUGCCACAGCUUUCAAAGCAGAGCAUCACCCCUCCUCCUCCUCUUCUUCCUCUUCCUCCUCCUCCUACCUGGCCAAAGCAGGCAAUGUCUUGCAGGAGGCAAUGGAGGACCCCCGCCUGCCAGGCACGGCUGGCUGAGUCAAGGGAAUAAUUGGUAGGUGCUUCUGGAGUGCCAUGAGCCGAGGACACUCACAGCCUUUGUUUAUUGACUCUUGAUGAUAGAGAAUACUUCCAGAGAUAAUUACUGAUUUUCUGCCCUUGCAGCAAACCUGUUUGUCUGGGGAACGGGUAGAGUUCCAAUGGCAAGUGGAAGUGGGAAUGGGGUGGAUUGAGCAAAACCAGACUCUGGCUCUUCUCACCUGGUAC